CUUAACGACGUCAUUACCAACAUUCGCAAGUUUUGGCGUUAAUUAUCACGCGUUGGUGUUGGGAUCACGCUCAAAUUAAAUAAAAACGACUUGUCAAAAAUGGCUGUGCAAUGUGUGAAUAAAUGGAUAGGAAUCAUUGAAAUAUGUACACACGGAUGUUGUCAAGACAUUGGCCCGAAUUAUAACAGAUAUACUUCAAACCAAUGUUGUAGUGUUCCGAGAAAAGGCAUGACUGGGAUUUGUAUCGUUAUUCCAACUUUGGUACUUGUUGCUGUGAUUAUCGGCAUUGUCUUAGUGUACAGACGAAGGUAUCGGCAGCAACCCGAAUUAAACGGUCACAACCACGCAGUCGAACCGUCAGAGAAAACCAAACAGAACGUCGCAGUUCAGACAAGCGUAUUCGACAAAGUAUAAACGGAAACAGAAGACAAACUUAUAAUUGCAUUUAAUUGUAGCUGUAUUCGUAUAUUAUUUAUAGUGAAACUCGAUCAAUCACGAAACUAAUCGCUAAAAAUUUAAAUAUGAGUUCUAUCAAAGCCAUCAUGACAAUAGUUUAACUUGCCUACAAAGAAGUUGAAGUUAAAUUAUUAAGGUUAUUAUCAAAUGUUCGUUUAGUAUAGCGGCCGAAGAAGGAUGUUGAAUGCCUUAUAUGUCUUAUUCAUCUAAUGUUUGUAUUAGGCAGAUAUGAAUGCAAUUAUUUUGUACUUAUAAAUUAGCCUCGCUCUGGGAAAACAGGCGUAAACAAACGUGCGUAAAAUAUCGAACCGGAACAGCCUGUGCAGUCCGACACUAUCUGCUUAUGGUAUUUUUCUUUUAAAUCAAGUAUAUUCUUUUAGAAAUUCCAGUUAAGUCAAAAUGCAGAGGCUAAUCUGGGACGACACCUUACAUCCCGGUUGGUCAGACCUCGGUUCAAAUGUUAGAUUCGAAACUUCACGGAGUUUAAGUCCGAAGUAUUUUUAUAUGACGUAUUUAUAUGAACAUAAAACAUUCAGGGAUACAGAUAACAAUUUAUAUUGCUUGAUAUUGCUUAAUUUGUAUAAGAAAUAAUCAAUAUGCCGGCGGGCCUCUUCGCACCAUAGAACUGACAAGUUAGCGCAAUCAUGUGGAGGUAACUGAAUUGCGUCACUGCAUCGAUAGGAGCUCCAAAGUUGCACUUGUUAUAUGACAGUUUGCAAAUUAGCUGUUAAAUAUAAUGUUUUAAAUAAGAAAAGCAUGCAAAUAACUCCCCACAUGUUCAAGGGAUAAUGUCAAGUGUACUAACUGACAAUAUGUAUACCGGUGUGUCGCCGUUUACUCUUCGUACUGGGCGUAUUGAUGGGAAUCUUGUGUCAUAUGAAGAAGAUGUGAUAGUUCUCACAGUUGAUAACUUUGUUAUAUACAUGUACGUUGUUCUUUGUCGAUAACUAGACAUUAUAUACGUUUUAUAAAAAGUUUGUUAUUUACUCAUGCUCAAGAUACAUAAUAUGAAUGUUAUUAGUUAACUUAAUGUGAAUACUAUGAAAAAAUACUGAUUUCUAAGCUUA